UGAUCUGGGGCCGAGGAAUGUGGUGUUUGGGAGGACCAUGACCGCCUGUCCGGCUUUCGUCCAAGUCUCCAUGAACGGGGCGAGCAACCCAGAGAGGGUGUCAGGCCCGUGGUAUUGGCGAGUCGCGACCGUGGUAGAGGUCUCUCCUUGGAGUCGGGUUGCUUGAGAGUGCAGCUCUAAGCGGGAGGUAAACUCCUUCUAAGGCUAAAUACGGCCACGAGACCGAUAGCGAACAAGUACCGCGAGGGAAAGUUGAAAAGAACUUUGAAGAGAGAGUUCAAGAGUGCGUGAAACCGUUCGGAGGGUAAAACGGGUGGGCGCUCGAAGAUCGAACGAUCCUUACUCCCGCCAUCUGCACGCCAGUCUCCCGCAGAUCCAUCAAGUGUGCCCACGCCUUCACGGGCGCGAGUUUGCCACUGGUCUGUGGGAGUUCACUGGCGGCCGUGCAGGGGCCGCAAGUUUGGGAUCCAGUAGGACUCCGCAACCGUCUGGAUAGACGUCAAAAGGAACCUUCUUGAGUUUUCCACGGCUUGUUGUCAUUCCGUUUUUAC
rnacentral:rRNA from 1 species